AUUGAUGCAGAGACUACUAGUCCUUUAUUAAGUUCUAUUAGUCUGUUUCUUUUACAGGAAAUUCUCUUUUUAACUUUGCUGAAUGUUUUCCAAUAGUAUUAGAAAUGGUGUCCAAGUAUCAAAAUUGAGACCAUUUAAUAUUUUGGCAUUUAAUACCAUAUUAAUUUUUAGUAGCAAUCAUUUUUUGCCAUACUGCUCUAUAUAUGAGAAGAACUAUCACAUGCAUAUGUGGAGAGUUGACACAAUCUGAUAAUGGCUUUUUUUUUCUUUUCUUUUUUUUCUUUGAAUUAGUCUCCUUUUGGUAUAAAAAUCUGUAAAACACAAUAAGCUGCAGGAUACCAAUACACUAAUUUCUGAGGUAUUUUCCCCCUCAUCCUUUUCUAUUUUCCUAUAAACACACGCUUCUAUGCAGCUGAAAAAGUGCAGUGUUUAGUAAAUAGAAAAAUACAAAAGUCAAUAAAACUAUUUAGAACAGGAGACUAAUGAAAAAACUGUCACUGAUCACCACUUUGAGAGCUGAGCUGCACCAUGUUAGUACCAUAGUAACCGAAUUUAGAAACUGUGCAUUCACUUCAGUUGUGAAUUUAGUUGAACUCUGUUUUAUUUCAAGAAUUUCUGUAAACUUUCUGGUUUUCUAAUCCCUUGGCUAGUUUCAGGCAAUUUUGACAAGGAAGAAGACCAUAAUACAGCACCAAGGUGACAGCACUAAGCUUCAUACCUGACACAAAAAGCUCCAAAAAAAAAAAAAAAAAAAAAAGAAAAACUAUCUGAAUGCCUCCCUGCAGUGUGGGAAGAGCAGGGAGAAGAUGAUGUUCAAACAAACCAACUGGGACAAGGUCCAGGCCACAGAGCAGCCACAGACCAGCCUGUCCAGUCAAGUCUGCACACAUGCAGCUCCAGCCCAAGCACAGCACACAACACCUCCUGCCAUCCCACAGGCCAGAAAAAAACCUGGUGAGAAAUGGGGAGGGAGGGAGGAGGAGACAGAGAAAUGGCAUUAGAAUAUUGGGGAGAAGAAAGAAAUGAUGAGGAUACCAUAUUGCAGACAUUUGAGGAAGUGGAGAUGGAGACUGAAGCGUUGGGGAAGACAGAAAUACACACAGCUCACCACAAGAACAGCUUACUGAAAACUUUGCUUUAUUUGGUUAACAGCUUACAGAAUCGUACAAAAUUAAUCACACCUCAGCAGAUUGCCUGCACACCUGGGGAGAAAGGGAAUGCUACAGAUCAGCAGAGGGAGGCUCAGAGCCCAUGGAAGUCUGGGCCACAGCUACGGCAGAGAACAGGAAUAACAGCAGAAACAGCUCCUUGCUGUGCUGCAGCUUUACCACAGACAAAAUCACAGUAAAUGGGGUAAAAACUGCUCUCACCAUCAGAUGCCAGGCCUGCCCACCCCCAACCCUGCACCAGACAUGUCCUAGGGUAGAGGCUUAUUUUAAAUACCUACAUAGCAUUGGGAAGAUCAGUCUGUGAAUUCCUGAAAUGACUGCAUCCUCAGCCUGCUGAUUUUUUUAUACAACAAUCUGUGUAUUAUCAUUUCACUCUUAUUGCAUACUUUUCACAGCUUUAAGAAAAAAUAUGCUAUUGAGAUACUAGAUGGCCAAUAAAAACUGCUAAUUGGAGUUCUAGAAUAUUUUC
rnacentral:lncRNA from 1 species